rnacentral:rRNA from 1 species
UGAACCAGUACCGUGAGGGAAAGGCGAAAAGAACCCCGGCGAGGGGAGUGAAAAAGAACCUGAAACCGUGUACGUACAAGCAGUGGGAGCACGCUUAGGCGUGUGACUGCGUACCUUUUGUAUAAUGGGUCAGCGACUUAUAUUCUGUAGCAAGGUUAACCGAAUAGGGGAGCCGAAGGGAAACCGAGUCUUAACUGGGCGUUAAGUUGCAGGGUAUAGACCCGAAACCCGGUGAUCUAGCCAUGGGCAGGUUGAAGGUUGGGUAACACUAACUGGAGGACCGAACCGACUAAUGUUGAAAAAUUAGCGGAUGACUUGUGGCUGGGGGUGAAAGGCCAAUCAAACCGGGAGAUAGCUGGUUCUCCCCGAAAGCUAUUUAGGUAGCGCCUCGUGAAUUCAUCUCCGGGGGUAGAGCACUGUUUCGGCAAGGGGGUCAUCCCGACUUACCAACCCGAUGCAAACUGCGAAUACCGGAGAAUGUUAUCACGGGAGACACACGGCGGGUGCUAACGUCCGUCGUGAAGAGGGAAACAACCCAGACCGCCAGCUAAGGUCCCAAAGUCAUGGUUAAGUGGGAAACGAUGUGGGAAGGCCCAGACAGCCAGGAUGUUGGCUUAGAAGCAGCCAUCAUUUAAAGAAAGCGUAAUAGCUCACUGGUCGAGUCGGCCUGCGCGGAAGAUGUAACGGGGCUAAACCAUGCACCGAAGCUGCGGCAGCGACACUAUGUGUUGUUGGGUAGGGGAGCGUUCUGUAAGCC